rnacentral:lncRNA from 1 species
AACAUAUCAACCAGGAGACCGAUGAGCCGAGGCGGCUUAUCAGGGCUUGAGGUGGACGACUCAAUGAGCUGAGCCAGAGCUUCUUUGACUAAAGGUUUGUACGUUUCCAUGUAGAAAGCUAAAAUGUCUUUUGCCUUCAUAUCUAAAGCUUGUUCAAGAAGAGGGAGGUCAAGGAACUUGAUAUUGUUAGAAAUAGUUGACUCAGUGAGUGAUUUGCAGUAGCUUGUGAACUUCUCAUCAAAGGGUAGCUUCAUCAAGAUGAUUGUCACUACGAAUCGGUCGUCUCGAUUGACAAGUAGCCGUGCCAACUCCACCGUUGAUGUAACAUGGCCGAUACCCGGUGAAGGUAUAAACACCAACUCUGAUCUCUUCAUUCAGAACAAUAAAUAGGACUAUUAGUUGGAUUCUUAUUUGAUUUCAAUCCAAAGAUUGAAUAUAGUUAUGGUGAUGUUUAUAGAAAAACAAGCAAGAAGUUAAUACAUAUUUUGUCUCACCAUCUAUAUUUUAUCUAAAUUCUUCAAAAUUAUCUUUAUAGAAUUGAAAAAAAUAAAUUAAUUCUAUUUUAAAAAUAAAUAAAUAACUCAAAUGAUUUAUUCUUUAAACUCAGUCUGGUACAUGACUUGGUUCACAAGUUGACUAUGUUAACCUGGAUUGACUCAAGUCAAUCAAAGUGAUAUUAUUUUAAUUAUUUUAAUAAUGAAUUCCAGUUUUGAUCAAGUCAUGGAUCAACUUUGAAAUGAUAUUUUCUUAUAAAAAAACCUGGCCCAAUUUAUGAGGAUUUUUUUAUGAUGAUUUAGAUAUUGAGUCAACCUGCAGGACUAGAUUUGAUAAUUAUAAGUAAAUUCAAACAAGUAUUUUGGGACAAACAAGAAAUGAUAGUAAGAUUAUCCAAAAAAAACUGAUGGUAAAACAUUGGUUUUUUUAGCUUUAUGGAAUAUAAAAAUGUCCAUGCACACAUGGAAAAAUAGAGCUUGAAAAUGAAUUACCUCCAUUUCAGGUUUUGGAGUUCCACCUUGAUAGUCUUGGGUUUCCAUUGCUCAAUAGCACAAGAGAUUUUAAUUAGGGGAACUCUUUGUUACGAAUAGAGAGUAAAGUUCCACAUACAUAU